rnacentral:misc_RNA from 1 species
GAUGAAGAACGCAGCGAAAUGCGAUAAGUAAUGUGAAUUGCAGAAUUCAGUGAAUCAUCGAAUCUUUGAACGCACAUUGCGCCCCUUGGUAUUCCGAGGGGCAUGCCUGUUCGAGCGUCAUUAUAACCCCUCAAGCUCAGCUUGGUGUUGGGGCCUGCUGCACUGGCAGCCCUUAAAAUCAGUGGCGGUGCCAUCUGGCUCUAAGCGUAGUAAUUCUUCUCGCUAUGGAGUCCUGGUGGAUGCUUGCCAUCAACCCCCAAUUUUUCUAUGGUUGACCUCGGAUCAGGUAGGGAUACCCGCUGAACUUAAGCAUAUCAAUAAGCGGAGGA